rnacentral:rRNA from 1 species
GUCGAGAAUCUUUCACAAUGGGGGCAACCCUGAUGGAGCGACGCCGCGUGGAGGAUAAGGUCUUCGGAUUGUAAACUCCUGUCAUGCGUGAACAAGGUUGCUUGGUUAAUACCUGGGCAAAUUGAUGGUAACGCAAGAGGAAGAGACGGCUAACUCUGUGCCAGCAGCCGCGUUAAUACAGAGGUCUCAAGCGUUGUUCGGAAUCACUGGGCGUAAAGGGUGCGUAGGUGGCGUGGUAAGUCAGAUGUGAAAGCCCGGGGCUCAUACUCGGAACUGUAUCCGAUACUGCCAUGCUAGAGUACUGGAGAGAUGAAUAGAAUUCUCGGUGUAGCAGUGAAAUGCGUAGAUAUCGAGAGGAAUACCAAAGGCGUAGGCAGGUCACUGGACAGUUACUGACACUGAGGCACGAAGGCCAGGGGAGCGAACGGGAUUAGAUACCCGUGUAGUCC